AUCGGCACGUAGUAUUAGUUAUUUGCAUACCCGAAUUAAUAGCGACGUAGUGUCUUGCUAUUGUGAGAUAGGUAAUCAGUUGAAAUGCAUUGUUCAGCACUUCGAGAUCGACUGCAAUCUAGGUUAUGGCAUCUCUUAGACUUCCACUUCGAGUUGCUCCGUUACCUAGAGGUUGGGUUGUGUCAAAUAGUCGAGCUUAUAAUGAUUAAUAGUUUAUUGAUAGGUAAUCAGUUGAAGUGCAUUGUUCAGCACUUCGAGAUCGACUACAAUCUAGGUUAUGGCAUCUUUUAGACUUCCACUUCGAGUUGCUCCGUUACCUAGAGGUUGGGUUGUGUCAAAUAGUCGAGCUUAUAAUGAUUAAUAGUUUAUUGGUAAUGUAUUUGCUAAAACUUAAAGUUAUGUAAUGAUUACUACAUAUUAUGUUGAAAUUGUAUGGAAU